CUCCCAGCUUGCCCUUUUACAAAGAUGCGGUGGGCUUGAAGCAGCUGCUCCUGACAGCGGUGUGUUCUGGGAGGCCUGGCUUUCUCUGGGUUUCUCUGUGCCACUCAGAUUCCUUUUUUUCUACUUUGUGGCUAAACAGAUGUUGCCAGGGCGUCGGUUUUGGCAAAAAGGUACAUCAGAACCGGAAGGGUUCCAAUGGACCUGGGACUGUCUGCAGCCUGGUCAGGCUCAAACCUGCUUCACGAGUUAGUUCACCCGGGGAGUCAGAACUGACAGGCAAGUGACACUCGGUGUGCGCCCAGAGAUGAAUGAGCCCCUUCGGCGUGGCUCCUGUGGCUUGACGAGAACGUCAACUCCGAGACCGAGGCUCACAUGACGGCCAUCACUUGCUGAAGGACACAGCUUUAAAACAGAGCUGCUCCAUUGACUUCCCAUCUAUCAAAAAAUGGGACCUUGGCUUCUGCAGGCCACAGUGCAUUGGCUUCAAGCUCUCUGCACACAAGUGUACAAGUGUUCUUCCCAGAGCCCCUGGCAUCCCCCACCCCCUAAGACAGACAAGGUUUGGGGAGCCCCACAGCAGGCCCCCUGUAGAACUGAUAUUGCUUAUUUAUUUAUAUGCUUAUUUCAAACUAGGCUUUAAUGCAGCUGCCACACAAGGCCAAAUAGGUUAUUAAAUGAAAUACUAUAUACCUCGGGUGCUUAAAGCAACGUUUACCACAAAGCG
rnacentral:lncRNA from 1 species